rnacentral:rRNA from 1 species
CAUGGUUCGAAAUUGAAAGGCGGCUUCGGCUGUCACUUAUGGAUGGACCCGCGUCGCAUUAGCUAGUUGGUGAGGUAACGGCUCACCAAGGCAACGAUGCGUAGCCGACCUGAGAGGGUGAUCGGCCACACUGGGACUGAGACACGGCCCAGACUCCUACGGGAGGCAGCAGUAGGGAAUCUUCCGCAAUGGACGAAAGUCUGACGGAGCAACGCCGCGUGAGUGAUGAAGGCUUUCGGGUCGUAAAACUCUGUUGUUAGGGAAGAACAAGUGCUAGUUGAAUAAGCUGGCACCUUGACGGUACCUAACCAGAAAGCCACGGCUAACUACGUGCCAGCAGCCGCGGUAAUACGUAGGUGGCAAGCGUUAUCCGGAAUUAUUGGGCGUAAAGCGCGCGCAGGUGGUUUCUUAAGUCUGAUGUGAAAGCCCACGGCUCAACCGUGGAGGGUCAUUGGAAACUGGGAGACUUGAGUGCAGA